GCAGCCUGAACAACAGUUAUAUCUUCAUCACAAAGCCGGCGUAGUAUAGUAUCUUGAAUGGUGCCAAAUCUCUGAGAAUCAGCUGCUUCAACAUUCAACAUACCACGCACAUCCAGGCCCAAAAGAGCAGAUCGACGAACCUCUGCCUUUGGAUGUUCCAUGGCAAACCAAACUUUUGAAUUAGAUAUUUCUUGUGAAAGAUCUAAAUUACAGUUCAACAUCCUGAUAACUAUUUCAUAGUCAUUUUUGGACCGCAGUUUAAUAUCCUCAAUAUAUCUGUUGACAGCUUCACGUGACUCGAACAGAUAUUUCUUAAGGAGAGAAACCAAUAUCUGAUCGCACCGGCUCCCUGCUGCUGCUGAAUCAUUGUCCUUCAUUAUCCGCAAAGAUGUGUUAAGCAGCUUUGAGACUAUAUGAGCAACAAAGCCCUUUAAAGGAACCAUCUCUACUAUAGACAACAGAGUUCCAUGGCAAAGAUCAU
rnacentral:misc_RNA from 1 species